rnacentral:lncRNA from 1 species
CUGGUCUCUGCCGUGGUGGUAACUGUAUUGGGGUCCCUGAGCCCCCUAAGGCAGGAUGCAGCCUGAGCCCUUGCUGAGUGGCCUUAGCACCCACACCUGGGCGGAUGGACCCCCAAGACCGCUGACUGCAGCCUCCACGUGGUGCUUCUUUCCCAGCUCCUGGAAACCUUCUACCCAUUUCCCUCAGCUGUCCCCCAUCCCACCCCCCGGCCACUGCUAACCCACUUUCUGUCCCUGUGGAUCUGCCUGCGCUGGACGUUUCCUGUAGACGUCCUCUACAGGACGGAGGGCCUCCUGUGUCUGGCUUCUUUCUUGGCAUCACGUCUUCCAGGGUCAUCCACAUUCAUGCCUGUGUUGGUGCUUCCUCCCUUUCUGUGGCUGAAUAUACUCCACUGUACGCAGAGACCACACGUGGUUCAUCCGCUGACGUCUGGCUGUUCCACCUUUGGCUGCUGUGGCUGGUGCUGCCGUGAACAUUGUGUGCCAGUUUCUGUGGGGAUGGAGGUUUCGAUUCUCUUGGGUCAUGGCUUGGAGAGGAAUUGCUGGGCCAAAUGGCAGCUGUGUUUAACAUUCUGAGGAGCCUAGUGUCCACCGCAGCUGCACUGUGUACAGGCCCAGCCGCUGCGUGCAAGGGUUCGAUGGCUCCACACCCUCCCCAGCACCAGCUGUUCUCCGGCCUUUUGACUCCAGCCCUCCAGCUGAGGGUGCAGUGCUCUCUCAUUUGAUUUGCGUUUCCCUGACGACUCAUGAUGCUGGGCGUCCUUUCAUGUGCUUGUCGGCCAUUUAUAUAAAUUAUUUGGAAAAACAUUUAUUCAAGUCCUCUGACCAUUCUUUAGUUCAGCUGUUUAUCUUUUUAUUGUUGAGUCGUAAGAGUUCUUUAGUGUUUGGUUUUUAGCUGCCGAGCAUCACUUCUGCUCCAUCGUUGGCCAGAAAUGGUCACGUGACCUCAGUCCAGCUUGCCGAGCAUGUGGCGUGUUUGGGAGGCAUAGGCGGUCUCUGCCACACGCCUGCAGGGUUAGGACUGGGGAGUGGGUGGCUGGCGCUCCUUGCCCACCUGUCGCCACUGACUGGAGGUGCCACCUGUACCCACACUUAACUCCUUGUGUGUUUGUGUGUCCUUCUCCAUCUGGAGAUGGUGACGGGUCCACACAGUAGUCACUGGCCGUGGCCUGAAAAUGUGUGCCGACACCCGGUACUGGUGGCUCCCUCAUGGCUCUUUACUCCGGAACGUUCUUAGCUAUUCACAGUUGCUUGCUUUUCAAUGUUAACCUUCUAAUCAGCUCACCUAGUCACAGGCGCGUGGUCCGGUGCCUUCCAUUGGUGGCAUCACACGAAGGUUAGCUCAGGAGGAACUGAUGUCCCUGUGACCCCGGGACCCCAUCUCAGACAGAACGCGACUUCUGUCAGUGGGAAGUCCUUCAGGACGGUCUCAGGAUCUUUCCUGGGGAGGUCGGUGUGUGAAGUUUGCGAUUUUUAUUGCUGUUCUGAGUGGCGCCUUCUCUUUAUCAUCU